rnacentral:rRNA from 1 species
GAUGAACGCUGGCGGCGUGCUUAACACAUGCAAGUCGAACGGAAAGGCCCAAGCUUGCUUGGGUACUCGAGUGGCGAACGGGUGAGUAACACGUGGGUGAUCUGCCCUGCACUUCGGGAUAAGCCUGGGAAACUGGGUCUAAUACCGGAUAGGACGAUGGUUUGGAUGCCAUUGUGGAAAGGUUUUUCGGUGUGGGAUGAGCUCGCGGCCUAUCAGCUUGUUGGUGGGGUAAUGGCCUACCAAGGCGUCGACGGGUAGCCGGCCUGAGAGGGUGUACGGCCACAUUGGGACUGAGAUACGGCCCAGACUCCUACGGGAGGCAGCAGUGGGGAAUAUUGCACAAUGGGCGCAAGCCUGAUGCAGCGACGCCGCGUGGGGGAUGACGGCCUUCGGGUUGUAAACUCCUUUCGCUAGGGACGAAGCGUUUUUGUGACGGUACCUGGAGAAGAAGCACCGGCUAACUACGUG